GUCACGAUCAGAAGGUUGGAAAUCCGGAUUCUUAAUCUGGAAAGCGCUGGUUCGAGCCCAGCUCGUGACA
rfam:Vigna radiata mitochondrion, complete genome